AUGGGCCUCCAGAGAGUUACAUGGAAUUUCCCAGAAGCCGGACACGGAAAGGGCCCAGCUGAUGGGGUAGGAGCAGCUGUGAAACGAAGAGCAGAUAGAAUUGUGGCACAAGGCAAGGACCUCCCAAAUGGAAAAACUGUAUUUGAGGAACUGUCAAAAGAUCAGUCAGCUAUCAAGCUCUUAUAUAUCUCAGAGGAGGAGCUAGAGAGCAUGGAGGCCCUCCUACCGGAUCACCUGGAGACAAUCAGUGGGACAAUGAAGAUGCACCAGAUCGUCACUGACAGUCCAGGGGAGAUAACUUGGCGGCUACACAGUUGCUUCUGUUCCUUUCCACAUCACUGCAGCUGUUUCAGCCCACAGACUGUGACUCUGGUUGAAAAAACAGAGGCAGACCAAGAUAGAAAAUUCAACUCAUCUCAAAGCACCAUCCAGCCCAUUGAAGAUCUAAGGGAAGCAUUGAUUGGAAAGUGAUGUGUGGUUGAGUAUGAUCAGGACAUUUACCCUGGUAUCGUGCAAGACAUUCACGCAGAGAGUGGUGCUUUUGUGAAAACCAUGAGUCGUGUUGGCCCCAACUGUUCUAAGCCUUAGAUACACUUGGAAAAUCACUAUACAGUACAUACAAAGCAGGGCAUCAAAUCAUACAUACAACAAAACAUUUGUAGCUCUCAAUUAACUCUUCCUUCUAUACAUGUGCUACAAUUUCUAUUUGUAGCAUCUGUAACACAUUGUUCUCAAGUGCUAGUUCCAGUGUUUUGGAAUCUUACUUUGUCUUAUAUUAAUUACAUUUUUAACAAUGGUUGAUGUUCAAAAUGUUUGAAAUAAAAUAUUGUUUUCAUAAGUAUAUUUAUUUUUUACAAAGAUGUCAUUUCCAUCACAACCCAUAUGAGGUAAAUUAGUAUAUUUUGUACAAAAUACAUAUUUAUUUGUUUUAGAUAUGGAAAUCAUAUGGUUGUUAUCUUAAUCUCACUAAAAGGUUGUGUGGAAAUAUCUUAUUUUUCAUGAUAGAUACAUGUUUCCAGCUGUCACCAAGGCAAGUUUAUACAUUCAGGUGUCGUGUUGAAUUAUUAAUAUUAGGAUAACCUUAAAAAUCACUUAAAAUAAUAUUCAAUACAAGUUAAUGUACAAAUGUAUAAGAAAUCCGUUAUAAAUCAAUUGUAUGAUAUUUCCUUUUCAACUACAAUGGAUGUUUAAUGACGAGAUGGGAAUGACAUUUGUCUAUGGCUGUCUGGGGAAAAAUGACAAAAAUAUAGAAAUUCCUGAAUAGUAGAUGGCAGCCAUUAUCAGAUAUAGUUUCUAGACAAAUCAAAGACAAGUACAUUACUGGUAAAAUGGUGUUUUAAUUUCUGAAAGUUUGCACGGCCAAAGUUGCAUAAUCACCCUUUUACACGUGUAAAAUACAUAUUUUUAUCUAUUUCAGAAGAGAUUGUCAUCUACCUAAACCAUAUCACAUUGCAGAACAAAGCAGAACAGCAGGUUGGAACUGUAUUAGUAAAAGGUAGAGAAUCGAGGUUACUUAUGAACUAAUUAAUACACCUCACCUAUCAUUGUAAAAUGCCCAUAAAAUGGUGUUGUACUGAGACCAAAAGUGAACUAUUGACAGACACAAUCCUGAGAUUUUUUACAUUUAUUUGACAUUUAUUUAACUAGGCAAGUCAGUUAAGAACAACUUCUUAUUUUCAAUGACUGCCUAGAAACAGUGGGUUAACUGCCUUGUUCAGGAGCAGAAAGGGUGCGGCAUUUCAUUAAAUAUAACUGAACACUAGAUAGCAAAGUGCCAAAGUGCACAACCGAAACAGCUCCGUCAGGUGCACCACACAUUAAACAGAAAAUAACUACCCAGACAGACAGCUGUCCCUGAUUGAGAACCAUACCCGGCCAAAAACCAAGAAAUACAAAAACAUAGAAAAAAGAACAUAGAAUGCCCACCCUAGUCACACCCGGGCCUAACCAAAAUAGAGAAUAAAAAAGCCUCUCUAUGGCCAGGGCGCGACAAUCCUCAAAUUAAUACAUACUGUAACGACCCUGGGUUUAUAAACGCGGAAAUAGACUGCAGCACAGUCAAUAGCGCGCCGGACCUCGGGCUCGAAGGUCAAGGGUUCGAGACCUGCUCCCUGUUGUUUCAUUACAAUACCAUAUGAUGUCGAAAAGCACCAAUCCAAGACGGCGGAUUUAACACAGUUAUGUUGAACACCUCAAGAUAAAAAUGUAGUAUUCAUUGUCGGAGGACAGGGGAACCUAUUUCAAAACGAAACGUGACUAUU
rnacentral:lncRNA from 1 species